UACGUAGGGUGCGAGCGUUAAUCGGAAUUACUGGGCGUAAAGCGUGCGCAGGCGGUUUUGUAAGCCAGAUGUGAAAAUCCCCCGGGCUUAACCUGGGAAUGGCAUUUGGGACUGCAAGGCUCGAGUGCGGCAGAGGAGACUGGAAUUCCUGGUGUAGCAGUGAAAUGCGUAGGAUAUCAGGAGGAACACCGAUGGCGAAGGCAGGUCUCUGGGCUGACACUGACGCUCAUGCACGAAAGCGUGGGGAGCAAACAGGGAUUAGAAGUACCCG
rnacentral:rRNA from 1 species